rnacentral:rRNA from 1 species
AUUGAACGCUGGCGGCAUGCCUUACACAUGCAAGUCGAACGGCAGCGGGCCCUUCGGGGUGCCGGCGAGUGGCGAACGGGUGAGUAAUGCAUCGGAACGUACCCGGGAGAGGGGGAUAACCGGCCGAAAGGCUGGCUAAUACCGCAUGAACUCGGAAGAGCAAAGCGGGGGACCUUCGGGCCUCGCGCUCUCGGAGCGGCCGAUGUCCGAUUAGACUAGUUGGUGGGGUAAAGGCCCACCAAGGCGACGAUCGGUAGCGGGUCUGAGAGGACGAUCCGCCACACUGGGACUGAGACACGGCCCAGACUCCUACGGGAGGCAGCAGUGGGGAAUCUUGGACAAUGGGCGCAAGCCUGAUCCAGCAAUGCCGCGUGGGUGAAGAAGGCCUUCGGGUUGUAAAGCCCUUUCGGCGGGGAAGAAAUCGGUCAGGCGAAUAGUCUGGCCGGAUGACGGUACCCGCAGAAGAAGCACCGGCUAACUACGUG